rnacentral:rRNA from 1 species
GUCAAGCUACAAAGGGCUCACGGCGGAUACCUUGGCACACAGAGGCGAUGAAGGACGUGGUUACCUGCGAUAAGUCUCGGGGAGCUGGAAACACGCUUUGAUCCGGGAAUUUCCGAAUGGGGCAACCCCUAGAACGGCCAGCUGAAUCUAUAGGCUGGCGCGAGCCAACCCAGCGAACUGAAACAUCUUAGUAGCUGGAGGAAAGGAAAGUAAAAACGACUCCCUAAGUAGCGGCGAGCGAACGGGGAAGAGCCUAAACCAAUGGUUUCGACCAUUGGGGUUGUGGGACAGCAAUGUGGAUCAGGAAUGUUAGUGGAAGUGUUUGAAAGACACGCCACAGAGGGUGAAAGCCCCGUACACGAAAACUGAACUGACCUAGCUGUAUCCCGAGUAGCACGGAGCACGUGGAAUUCCGUGUGAAUCAGCGAGGACCACCUCGUAAGGCUAAGUACUCCUGUGUGACCGAUAGCGAAACAGUACCGCGAGGGAAAGGUGAAAAGAACCCCGGGAGGGGAGUGAAAUAGAACAUGAAACCGUGAGCCUACAAGCAAUGGGAGCCCUACUAAUAGGGUGACCGUGUGCCUGUUGAAGAAUGAGCCGGCGACUUAUAGGCACUGGCGGGUUAAACCGGAAAUGGUGGAGCCAUAGCGAAAGCGAGUCUGAAUAGGGCGUUUAGUUAGAUGAAUUAGACCCGAAACCGGGUGAUCUAGCCAUGGCCAGGUUGAAAGCAGAGUAAAAUCCGCUGAAGGACCGAACCCACUACUGUUGAAAAAGUAGGGGAUGAGCUGUGGUUAGGGGUGAAAUGCCAAUCGAACCCGGAGCUAGCUGGUUCUCCCCGAAAUACGUUGAGGCGUAGCGUCUCGUGCUCCAGCAGGGGGGUAAAGCCACCAUUUCGGUGCGGGCUGCGAGAGCGGUACCAAAUCGAGAUGAACUCUGAAUACCCUGUGUGUAGCGAGGCAGUCAGACUGUGGGGGAUAAGCUCCAUGGUCGAGAGGGAAACAGCCCAGACCGCCAGCUAAGGUCCCCAAAUCAACACUAAGUGAUAAAGGAGGUGGGAUUGCCCAGACAACCAGGAGGUUUGCCUAGAAGCAGCCAUCCUCAAAGGAGUGCGUAAUAGCUCACUGGUCGAGCGAUCCUGCGCCGAAAAUGAAUGGGGCUAAGUGUUGUACCGAAGCUGCGGAUUUAUGGUAGGGGAGCGUUCUAUGUGGGGCGAAGCGUUAGCGUGAGCGGGCGUGGACUGCAUAGAAGUGAGAAUGUCGGCUUGAGUAGCGAAAACAUGGGUGAGAAUCCCAUGCACCGAAACCCUAAGGGUUCCUCCGGCAGGCUCGUCCGCGGAGGGUUAGUCUGGACCUAAGGCGAGGCCGAAAGGCGUAGUCGAUGGACAGCAGAUUAAUAUUUCUGCCCCGCUUUUGUGGAGUGAUGGGGUGACGCAUUAGGAUAGGCCAACCGGAGCUAUGGCUAUGCCCGGCGGGUAACGAAGCUUUUCAGGAUAGGAAAAUCCGCCUGAUACUAGAGUGACGUUAUUCGGGAAGGCCCCAAGGGGCUGAUAACUGGUUGAAUCCACGGUGCCAAGAAAAACCUCUAAACGUUGAAGCAAGAGCGCCCGUACCGAUAACCGACACAGGUGGGCGAGUGUAAAAGCACUAAGGCGCGCGAGAAAACUCUCUCUAAGGAACUCUGCAAAAUGGCCCCGUAACUUCGGGAGAAGGGGUCCCGUGUGUACCGUGAGGCAACUUGCGGGAGACGGGCACAGUAAAUCGGCUCUAGCGACUGUUUACCACAAUCACAGCACUCUGCAAACCCGCGUAGGGGACGUAUAGGGUGUGACACCUGCCCGGUGCCGG